GCUAUAUUGUGUAUACAAAAAGAAAUACAAAAACCCUAAAAAAAAACACACUAAAUCAAAAUCCACAUUUAAACCUUUAGGUUGCAUUGUCUGUAAUUUGUGGAUCCAGAAGCCUUCUCUUUUUCUUAAUUUUUGCAUUAAAAUCCCAACUCUUUCGUCCAAUUGUACCUGUUCUAUAACUGUAAAAUUUAAAUUAUUAUUAAAAUGGGGGCAUCUGUUGGUAUGAACUGGGACUGAAUGUGUCGUUAUUUUCCUCAGUACAUUAUGAAGGUGUUCCAGGCAUCUAAUUUUAGAUUUCUUUCACGUCCUCUCAAC